UACAGAGGUCCCGAGCGUUUGUUCGGAUUCAUUGGGCGUAAAGGGUGCGUAGGCGGUGGGGUAAGUUGGAUGUGAAAUCUUGGGGCUUAACCUCAAAAUUGCAUUCAAUACUGCUCCGCUCGAGUUCUGUAGAGGAGAUUGGAAUUUACGGUGUAGCAGUGAAAUGCGUAGAUAUCGUAAGGAACGCCAGUGGCGAAAGCGAAUCUCUGGGCAGCAACUGACGCUGAGGCACGAAGGCCAGGGGAGCAAACGGG
rnacentral:rRNA from 1 species